rnacentral:lncRNA from 1 species
GCUUCUCCUUCGGGAAACCCGGAUCUCUUCCUCUGCCCAGACCGUGGUCUCUGAGAGCAGGAAGUGGCUGGUCCCCUGUAAUGCUGCAUCUGUGUGACAGCCUCAAGCCCUGCUGGCUCUCUCUCCGGGCACCCCUCACUUGCUUCUUGCCCUGGCCUUGGGCAGCACUCCGGUAACCCCAGUGCCACAGUUCACACGAGGCAAUUGGAGGGAAGGAUUCUGCUGCCCGGAAAAUCCUCCGGAACCACAGGUGUUGUUCAUGGGCCUGAGCCGCUCAGUGAAGAACUCGGCCGUUGGUGGCCGAGUUGCCCCUGGUCCAGCCCUCUGGCCCGCGGUGUGAUGCCUCUACUCAUGGCAACAGGCGUGGACAGGUGCUGAGAAGGAGGACGACAUCAUUAAACAAAACAGCUUGGGGUCUUUGAAAAACAGUGACAGAAACCCAGGAAGGCUGGUGACUUGUCAGGUCUGUGUCUGUCCUGGGUGGCCACUCGGCCCUGGACCGUGAGGCUGAAAUGACAGGAGACACGGAGGGUGGGCUUGGGUGGUUUCCUCAUAAGACACAG